UUCCUCUGUAGUUCAGCCGGUAGAACGGCGGACUGUUAAUCCGUAUGUCACUGGUUCGAGUCCAGUCAGAGGAGCCAA
rnacentral:tRNA from 1 species